rnacentral:rRNA from 1 species
AGUCACUGACAUUAGAUACCCGGGUAGUCCAGGGUGUAAACGCUGCAGACUUGGUGUUGGAAAUCCUUCGAGGGUAUUCAGUGCCGGAGAGAAGUUGUUAAGUCUGCUACUUGGGGAGUACGUCCGCAAGGAUGAAACUUAAAGGAAUUGGCGGGGAGCACCACAACGGGUGGAGCCUGCGGUUUAAUUGGACUCAACGCCGGAAAUCUCACCGGAUAGGACAGACAUAUGAUAGUCGGGCUGAAGACUCUACUCGAUGAUCUG